ACAGCCAUACCACAUUGAAAACACUGUUCUCGUCCGAUCACCGAAGUUAAGCAAUGUCGGUCAGUACUUGGGAAGGCGACCAUCUGGGGGUGCUGUAGGCU